CAAAAAAAGGAAGAUAGAUGUAAUCUUUUAGUCAGCAAAGCUUUGAAGCCCACAAGCUCAGGAAAUGCUUUGUUGUUGUAUGUAAGGCUGAAAGCACGUCAAGAAGUCAGUGAGUGUAUUAGAGACAGCAAGAACGAUGACAGUGUUUAAGACACGUGGGUGUUUGCUAGCAGCAAUCAGGAUUAUCUUUUUAACUGAGUUUUUGCUGACAGGUGUGAGAGGAGACGGCCCAGAGUCAAAAACAUUAGAUAUUAAGUACGUUUUGAUCGGAGGUGGGAUCGGCCUGUUGUUAGUUGCUGUAUUCAUUAUAACAAAGAUCUGCAUUAUUAGGAAGCAAGUGAGUCAAAACAAUGCAGAUGUCAACAUGAGAAGAUUUUCAGAGCCUCAGUUGCACUCUUUGAGCCAUCUCAGCCAAUCAGAACGCUCCGAUGCAGCGGUGUCCAGAGGCGUGUGAUGACAGAGGUCUGGCACAGUGACGAGCCUGAUGCUGUAACCCUGCAAAAAGUGAAACAUCAACCUGGUGGCCUUUUUUUGUUCUUUUGUUUUUUUUGUUUUUCAGUGUUGGAAUUGUUGCAGAAUUUCAACAUUGAGUUUUACCUCUUUUACUUUCUCUGUAACAUUUGUUAUAAUUGUGUUCAUAAAAAAAUAUCUAAAGAAGACUUGCUUUGUGC
ensembl:lncRNA